rnacentral:rRNA from 1 species
UGAACGCUGGCGGCGUGCCUAAUACAUGCAAGUCGGACGAGAAAGUACCCUUCGGGGUGCGAGUACAGUGGCGCACGGGUGAGUAACGCGUGAGUAAUCUACCUUUGAGUUUGGAAUAACCCCAGGAAACCGGGGCUAAUACCGAAUAAGACCACGAUGGGGUAAUCCAUUGUGGAAAAAGAUAGCCUCUUUACAAUGCUUUCGCUUGGAGAUGAGCUUGCGUACCAUUAGUUUGUUGGCGGGGUAAAGGCCCACCAAGGCAGAGAUGGUUAGCUGGUCUGAGAGGACGAUCAGCCACACUGGAACUGAGACACGGUCCAGACUCCUACGGGAGGCAGCAGUAGGGAAUUUUGCGCAAUGGGGGCAACCCUGACGCAGCGACGCCGCGUGAGUGAAGAAGGCCUUCGGGUUGUAAAGCUCUGUCAGAAGGGACGAAUAACUGGAGUCCAAUAGGCUCUCAGGAUGACGGUACCUUCAGAGGAAGCACCGGCUAACUCU